UACGUAGGGGGCAAGCGUUGUCCGGAUUUAUUGGGCGUAAAGAGCGUGUAGGCGGUUAGGUAGGUCCGUUGUGAAAACUCGAGGCUCAACCUCGAGACGCCGAUGGAAACCAUCUGACUAGAGUCCGGAAGAGGAGAGUGGAAUUCCUGGUGUAGCGGUGAAAUGCGCAGAUAUCAGGAAGAACACCCGUGGCUAAGGCGGCUCUCUAGUACGGUACUGACGCUGAGACGCGAAGGCCAGGGGAGCAAACGGG
rnacentral:rRNA from 1 species